rnacentral:rRNA from 1 species
CUUCGAUGUUCUGGGCCGCACACGUGUUACACUGAUGCAUUCAACGAGUUUUCGUUUCGACGAGUCCUGGUCCGAAGGGAUUGGGUAAUCUUUUAAAUGUGCAUCGUGCUGGGGAUUGACCAUUGUAAUUAUUGGUCAUGAACGAGGAAUUCCUAGUAAGUGCGAGUCAUCAUCUCGCGCUGACUACGUCCCUGCCCUUU